rnacentral:lncRNA from 1 species
UGCAGUGCCUUUACCAGGACAUAUCUAAGUUUUUUACUUUUUUACUUAGAGAGCAACAGACCACUGGAGCAGGCUGCCCAGAUAGGUUGUGGAGUCUCCUACUUGGAGAUAUUCAAGACCCACCUGGACACCUUCCUUUGCAACCUAUGAACUAGUUUUCCACUCGUGAUGCUCAAAGUGGCAAAAAUAUUAUAGAAGAAAACUAUUGGAUUGUCAAGUUGUAUUAUAAAUACAAGACCUGGAUGCAAUGGACUCAUGCAUAAUCUUUCUGUGUAAGACAUUUGCCAUCUGCCUACCACUCCCAUCUUGAGUAGAGAAGGCUGCUGGAAGACACGAUACAGGCCUCAAAUAUGUCAAAGAUUCUUCAUCAAGGAAAGAAAAAAGCAUUUUUCUGCUUGCCAUGUCUGAAAGAAUCAAUCUACUGGUAUAGGUGUGUGUGCAC